UCGAGAUGUUUUAAUUUUAAAUCUUAAAAAGUUGUGUUAUUGACUUGUUGUUACCCGAGUAAAGUAUGAAGAUGGAUUUCCAUGGAAAUAACGAGUGGGUGUGUUGCUUGGCCCAGGCAGUACAGUCCUCGUUCAAUAGUUCCAAGUACUCAGAUCUCAGCGUACAUUCUCAUGGCCGGAUAAUAUCAGUGAACAGUCUUGUGUUGGGUUCUCAGAGCGAUAUGUUGCAAGACAUCAUCACUGGGCGAAACCCGGCCACCGCUCUUGGAGAAAUCCUAGAACCGUUCACCCUAGCGAGCGUAGAAUGCUUCCUGAAGUCCCUGUACAAAGGGAGACUUGAGCACCCUGGUAUAUACAGGGACACCCUGGAACUGUUUCAGAUAACCAACGCUCUCCAAGUCGGGUGGUUGUUUGAUGACGUCAUCGAGUAUAUCCGAGACACUGUGUCCUGUGUUACUGUGUUUGAUACCCUCACCCUCGCGCUGGAACAUUCAGAUCCUACCCUGACCCGGGCAUGUGAUGACAUUCUCACCCGAAACUUCCUUGGUGAUAUUACUUUACCUACAGAUCCCAAGUGGUGGGAACUACCGCGUGAGAUAGCCGUGCACGUGCUGAGCUUGUGCACGCUGCGCGCGGUCUCAGAGUUGGACGUGUUCGUGCACGUGCUGUAUUGGAUCGAGCGGAACAUCUCGGUGUCGAACAGAGAUGAGUGUGUGGAGUUGUUACAGUGCAUCAGAGUGUUCGCUAUUCCCCAUAUCUUCAGGGAGGGGUUCCUUUACCCUUACAUUUCCAUCGUAUCUCAGAAAUACUUCCUCGCUCUCAAAUACCCUCAGUUGAACAGAUGGAGAGUGAGACAGCAACCAGCCCGCACCAACUCCCUGCUCUCUCUGAACAUUGCACCGAGUUUACUAUCGCUGUACUGGCUACAAACGGCCGCGAGGACUUUUGCAAGAAAUACUACAACUCUGGCUGCAGUAUUCGUCUCGAAAUAGACCUCAGUAAACUUCUGCCUUUCACCAUAACAUUGGAGUCUGACAAGAGGUACGAGAAGUGUUACGCGUGGUUUAAGUCGGAGGAAAACUACGGAUGUUCCCUCUGGGAGAGAGAAGCAUUCUGACAGCUAACCAGAACGAGUAUAAGAGAGUGGUGUGGAACGCACUGGACCACAUCGAGUUGCGACGCCUCUUCUCAACUAACUGCAUACGGAUAGGAUUCGUUUUGUAUCACCCACCUUGAGGACCAACUACCAUCUCUCAUUUUAUGCUGAAAAGUUUAUCUGCUUGUUAGUCGAGUUAAAAGAAUGUCAGACAAAUUGAAAACCAAUUAUAUAUAGAAACUGUCGGCUUAAUUAAGAAUGAAAAGACUUAGAUUUGACUGUUUAAACACCGACUCUUGAGCCGCAGACUAACUAUAACUUAGUUUUCAUCUUAUUUUCAUAUUCAGAAGUCGUCACAAAUCUGUUAACUUGUGAUUUCGAGCCAAUAUUUUAGGCGGGGACACAUGUUUAACCUAAUCUAUUAGGACAAUUUAUCUGUUAAAUGUCAUUUAGUAAAGGAUCGUUGUCAGAAAAGACGGUUCACGCGCCGGUUGUCACGUUAAUCACAACGAGCGGUGUUAAACUUAAGUGUUAAUGAUCAUUGUCAUUAAUAGUUGACAUUUAUUGCCAC